GGGUUGUGAGGUUAAGCGACUAAGCGUACACGGUGGAUGCCCUGGCAGUCAGAGGCGAUGAAGGACGUGCUAAUCUGCGAUAAGCGUCGGUAAGGUGAUAUGAACCGUUAUAACCGGCGAUUUCCGAAUGGGGAAACCCAGUGUGUUUCGACACACUAUCAUUAACUGAAUCCAUAGGUUAAUGAGGCGAACCGGGGGAACUGAAACAUCUAAGUACCCCGAGGAAAAGAAAUCAACCGAGAUUCCCCCAGUAGCGGCGAGCGAACGGGGAGCAGCCCAGAGCCUGAAUCAGUGUGUGUGUUAGUGGAAGCGUCUGGAAAGGCGCGCGAUACAGGGUGACAGCCCCGUACACAAAAAUGCACAUACUGUGAGCUCGAUGAGUAGGGCGGGACACGUGGUAUCCUGUCUGAAUAUGGGGGGACCAUCCUCCAAGGCUAAAUACUCCUGACUGACCGAUAGUGAACCAGUACCGUGAGGGAAAGGCGAAAAGAACCCCGGCGAGGGGAGUGAAAAAGAACCUGAAACCGUGUACGUACAAGCAGUGGGAGCCUCUUUUAUGGGGUGACUGCGUACCUUUUGUAUAAUGGGUCAGCGACUUAUAUUCUGUAGCAAGGUUAACCGAAUAGGGGAGCCGAAGGGAAACCGAGUCUUAACCGGGCGUUAAGUUGCAGGGUAUAGACCCGAAACCCGGUGAUCUAGCCAUGGGCAGGUUGAAGGUUGGGUAACACUAACUGGAGGACCGAACCGACUAAUGUUGAAAAAUUAGCGGAUGACUUGUGGCUGGGGGUGAAAGGCCAAUCAAACCGGGAGAUAGCUGGUUCUCCCCGAAAGCUAUUUAGGUAGCGCCUCGUGAAUUCAUCUCCGGGGGUAGAGCACUGUUUCGGCAAGGGGGUCAUCCCGACUUACCAACCCGAUGCAAACUGCGAAUACCGGAGAAUGUUAUCACGGGAGACACACGGCGGGUGCUAACGUCCGUCGUGAAGAGGGAAACAACCCAGACCGCCAGCUAAGGUCCCAAAGUCAUGGUUAAGUGGGAAACGAUGUGGGAAGGCCCAGACAGCCAGGAUGUUGGCUUAGAAGCAGCCAUCAUUUAAAGAAAGCGUAAUAGCUCACUGGUCGAGUCGGCCUGCGCGGAAGAUGUAACGGGGCUAAACCAUGCACCGAAGCUGCGGCAGCGACACUGUGUGUUGUUGGGUAGGGGAGCGUUCUGUAAGCCUGUGAAGGUGUACUGUAAGGUAUGCUGGAGGUAUCAGAAGUGCGAAUGCUGACAUAAGUAACGAUAAAGCGGGUGAAAAGCCCGCUCGCCGGAAGACCAAGGGUUCCUGUCCAACGUUAAUCGGGGCAGGGUGAGUCGACCCCUAAGGCGAGGCCGAAAGGCGUAGUCGAUGGGAAACAGGUUAAUAUUCCUGUACUUGGUGUUACUGCGAAGGGGGGACGGAGAAGGCUAUGUUGGCCGGGCGACGGUUGUCCCGGUUUAAGCGUGUAGGCUGGUUUUCCAGGCAAAUCCGGAAAAUCAAGGCUGAGGCGUGAUGACGAGGCACUACGGUGCUGAAGCAACAAAUGCCCUGCUUCCAGGAAAAGCCUCUAAGCAUCAGGUAACAUCAAAUCGUACCCCAAACCGACACAGGUGGUCAGGUAGAGAAUACCAAGGCGCUUGAGAGAACUCGGGUGAAGGAACUAGGCAAAAUGGUGCCGUAACUUCGGGAGAAGGCACGCUGAUAUGUAGGUGAAGUCCCUCGCGGAUGGAGCUGAAAUCAGUCGAAGAUACCAGCUGGCUGCAACUGUUUAUUAAAAACACAGCACUGUGCAAACACGAAAGUGGACGUAUACGGUGUGACGCCUGCCCGGUGCCGGAAGGUUAAUUGAUGGGGUCAGCGCAAGCGAAGCUCUUGAUCGAAGCCCCGGUAAACGGCGGCCGUAACUAUAACGGUCCUAAGGUAGCGAAAUUCCUUGUCGGGUAAGUUCCGACCUGCACGAAUGGCGUAAUGAUGGCCAGGCUGUCUCCACCCGAGACUCAGUGAAAUUGAACUCGCUGUGAAGAUGCAGUGUACCCGCGGCAAGACGGAAAGACCCCGUGAACCUUUACUAUAGCUUGACACUGAACAUUGAGCCUUGAUGUGUAGGAUAGGUGGGAGGCUUUGAAGUGUGGACGCCAGUCUGCAUGGAGCCGACCUUGAAAUACCACCCUUUAAUGUUUGAUGUUCUAACGUGGACCCGUGAUCCGGGUUGCGGACAGUGUCUGGUGGGUAGUUUGACUGGGGCGGUCUCCUCCUAAAGAGUAACGGAGGAGCACGAAGGUUGGCUAAUCCUGGUCGGACAUCAGGAGGUUAGUGCAAUGGCAUAAGCCAGCUUGACUGCGAGCGUGACGGCGCGAGCAGGUGCGAAAGCAGGUCAUAGUGAUCCGGUGGUUCUGAAUGGAAGGGCCAUCGCUCAACGGAUAAAAGGUACUCCGGGGAUAACAGGCUGAUACCGCCCAAGAGUUCAUAUCGACGGCGGUGUUUGGCACCUCGAUGUCGGCUCAUCACAUCCUGGGGCUGAAGUAGGUCCCAAGGGUAUGGCUGUUCGCCAUUUAAAGUGGUACGCGAGCUGGGUUUAGAACGUCGUGAGACAGUUCGGUCCCUAUCUGCCGUGGGCGCUGGAGAACUGAGGGGGCUGCUCCUAGUACGAGAGGACCGGAGUGGACGCAUCACUGGUGUUCGGGUUGUCAUGCCAAUGGCACUGCCCGGUAGCUAAAUGCGGAAGAGAUAAGUGCUGAAAGCAUCUAAGCACGAAACUUGCCCCGAGAUGAGUUCUCCCUGACCCUUUAAGGGUCCUGAAGGAACGUUGAAGACGACGACGUUGAUAGGCCGGGUGUGUAAGCGCAGCGAUGCGUUGAGCUAACCGGUACUAAUGAACCGUGAGGCUUAACCUUACAACGCCGAAGGUGUUU
rnacentral:rRNA from 1 species